rnacentral:rRNA from 1 species
CAAUAGCGUAUAUUAAAGUUGUUGCGGUUAAAAAGCUCGUAGUUGGAUUUCUGUCGAGGACGACCGGUCCGCCCUCCGGGUGAGUAUCUGGCUUGGCCUGGGCAUCUUCUUGGAGAACGUGUCUGCACUUGACUGUGUGGUGCGGUAUCCAGGACUUUUACUUUGAGGAAAUUAGAGUGUUUCAAGCAGGCAUGCGCCUUGAAUACAUUAGCAUGGAAUAAUAAGAUAGGACCUCGGUUCUAUUUUGUUGGUUUCUAGAGCUGAGGUAAUGAUUAAUAGGGAUAGUUGGGGGCAUUCGUAUUUAACUGUCAGAGGUGAAAUUCUUGGAUUUGUUGAAGACGAUCUACUGCGAAAGCAUUUGCCAGGGAUGUUUUCAUUGA